UACAGAGGGUGCAAGCGUUAAUCGGAAUUACUGGGCGUAAAGCGAGCGUAGUCGGUUAUUUAAGUCGGAUGUGAAAUCCCCGGGCUCAACCUGGGAACUGCAUUCAAAACUGACAAGCUAGAGUAUGGUAGAGGGUGGUGGAAUUUCCUGUGUAGCGGUGAAAUGCGUAGAUAUAGGAAGGAACACCAGUGGCGAAGGCGACCACCUGGACUGAUACUGACACUGAGGUGCGAAAGCGUGGGGAGCAAACAGG
rnacentral:rRNA from 1 species